rnacentral:RNase_P_RNA from 1 species
GGGGGCCCCUAGGGGGGUAACGGGUUCGCUGAGGAAACUCCGGCCUCCAACCCCCGUAGGAACCCCGAAAGGGGUGAGGAUAGUAUCCUCGGCAACUGCACAGAAACGUAAGCCCUAGAUUUUGAUAAAUGAGUGGAUCUACUAACAGGCAACUGUUAGUAGUACAUGAUAGAUGAUAAAUCUAGGGCUUGAAACGGCAGUCCUCCUAGGAGCAAGUUCUGGGGGAUGAGCAGGGGGUCGACUCUCAGUAGUACGCUUAGUCGAAUCCCUCAAAACAGAAGCCGGGUUAUGCUAGGGGCCCCC